AACCUAAGGGCGCAAUGAAAGUGAAGGCCUGCCCCCGGGUGGGCUGAGGUGGGAUCCCGGGCCUCCGGUUCCGGGCGCACCACCGGCCCGUCUCGCUCACAACUGAGGAGGCGGCGCGGGAGCGCACGCGUUGGGACCCGAAAGAUGGUGAACUAUGCCUGAGUAGGUCGAAGCCAGAGGAAACUCUGGUGGAGGACCGUAGCGAUUCUGACGUGCAAAUCGAUCGUCGAACU
rnacentral:rRNA from 1 species